CUGCUAUUUUCAACAUCAGAAAAUUUUACAUUGAUAGAUUUAUGCUUCAGUUUCCUUCUGGUGCUUGCAUUGGAUAUUUUUGUUUUGUUUUAUUUUACUUCACAUAAUCAGUUUCAUUGUAAGGACAGAAGGCUUUCUUUAACAUCAGUGAUUUGGCUUGUCACCAAGCGGUGACAGAUCUUUCCCAUGCCAUGGAUGAUUCAAUAAGAAUAUCUACUGAGCAUUUCCAUUCUCUUUGCUGCUGUUAUCCUGCAAAACACAGGGUGCAGUCUCUCUUGGAUAACCUUUCUACUGCUGAGCUCCAUGGCACAAAAAAUAAACCCUGUUCCAGAGUAUUUCCCCAUCUUUGAGAGCAGGAGUUUAGGAUCACAGGAGGAACAGGAGGGAGAGAGUCACUGAUUCUGGAAGCUGUAUAAGGAUCAAGUAGAAAUAGAUCAUUUCAGCCUAACAAUUUCAUUUCACGUCUCAUAGAAGGAUGUUAACUAGAUUUUGACAUUUUAGAAGGAAGCAAAAAUGAAACUACAUAAUUGAUACUUAAUGAAUAUUGAUUUCAACCCCCCCUUGAUGCAUUGCCACCUUCUCAUGGUGAGGAGGCUCAUGUGUUCUGGUGAACCUGUGGGUGAAGGUGUCGGAGUCUUGUGCUCUCAGGAGAGUCUCCCAGGGUGUCAAGGUCACAGGGGAGGAACCAAAUCAAGCACAAUCUGAAGUCCUCAAUGGUGGAACAGGCAGACAAUAACAUGGUAUAUGUUAUAACAGCUGUGAAGGAGAAAGAGGGCUGCAACACACAAAGGGCCACUGGUCAUUGGGUUAACCACACCUCUGGAUCUGAACCUCUUUUUGGGAAGACUGUGUGUUGGUUGGAUGUGCACUGAUCACACAUAAAACAAACUCACACACAGGCAUCUUCCAAGAAAACAAAAAGAAAACUAACAAAAGUCCCAUGGCGAUUAGUGAGUGAUGAAGGGGGAAAGACUGUGAAAUUUGGAAGCCCCUAGCCAUAGGCUGGCAAAGAGUGGUGGACAUGGAUUCAGUCAUUAUACCUCAAGGUCCGAGGCAGUUGAGCAGUCUGGCAGCUGUAUCCACAACUGAGCAGCCCUAUAUAUGAUCCACUUUGCUUACCCUAUACAGAGAGGGGGCUAGAAAAGGUGCCCUAAAAAUAGUUUGCCUCUGUUAUCCCUGACUAGACUACCAUGCCCAGAGGAGUCACCACCUUGCAGUCAAAAAAGACAAUUUUGGAACAUGGAACAUACAGACAAUUUUGGAUAACACAGAAUAAUGAAGUUGGUGGAUAAAAAAGACUCAAGAAAUCCAACACCUCAUAAAUGUCUAUGACACAUGGGGAUUCUUUAAUGCCACAAAAAUAAGCUAUAGCCCAACAAAUUAUGACAUACACCCUCUACAUUCAUCAGAUGGAACUAAACUUCUAAAGGACAAAAAAUUGCACUACACUGGAAAGAGCACUACCACAACCUCCUUAACUGCAGCUCCAAUGUGGCUAAAGAGGUUCUAUUGCAAAUCUCACAACAACAAACCAGGGAUGAGCUUGCAGCAUUGCCUAGUUUGGAAGAAGUCAGCGAAGCCAUCAACCAACUGAAAAAUAACAAACCCAGUGAAUCUGAUGGGAUUCCUGUGGAAAUCUUUAAAGAGGAUCUGAGUUUAAACAACAACUCCACCAGCUCAUUGAAAAAGUGUGGGUGACUGAGAAGAUCACAGCAUAGGGUUGUUGUGUGUUUUCCGGGUUGUAUGGCCAUGCUCCAGAAGUAUUAUUUCCUGAUAUUUCGGACACAUCUAUGGCAGGCAUCUCAGAGAAACGUGGACUAUCUACAAACUUCACUCUCAACUUCUGGAAUGGUUCCAUCAGCAUUUCCUCUGAAACAUCCUGCAAAUCUCUUGGGAAGACAGGCAGACAAAUGUCAGCGAUCUGGAAGAAGCAAAGACCACCAGCAUUGAGGUGAUGAUCCUCAGCCAUCAACUCCGCUGGACUGGCCAUGUUGUCCAAAUGCCUGAUAACCGUCUCCCAAAGCAGUUACUAAACUCUCAACUCAAGAACAGAAAACAGAAUGUUGGUGGACAGCAAAAGGAAUUUAAAGAUGGGCUUAAAGCUAACCUUAAAAACUGUGGCAUAGACACCGAGAACUAGGAAACCCUGUAGAGACCACCCAAUUUCCUGCUGAAACUGCUUACUUCACUGUGCCCCAUGACCAGGAGAGCAGUACAGGUGUCAUUUCACGACAUCCCCCCCCCCCACCCGCCCAUCUGCAGCACCUCAGUAACUCUUUGGUUGUGGCACUGCCGAGCUAACAAGGUGUAUUUUGAUGGUCACAUUUGGUAUGAAGGACUGCAAACACGAAUCCCUUGCAACUCAUAAAUCCAGUGUACAAAUCUCAAAACAUCUGAACAGGAUUUCAGACACAGGAUUCCAGCAUUUGACAUUUGAAAGUUGGGGAUGAAUUUUAAAAAUCUGGUGUGUUUCACAUAAGUUGUUUAAUUUCUAAACUCUAUAUGGAUGACGUGUAAUGAUAUUUAAGUAUUCAAAGACAUAGGUUGCAUCUUUACUGUAGAAUCAAUGCAGUUUGACAUCACUUUAACUGUCAUGGUUCAAUGCAUAUUAUAUUAUGCUUUUGAUGUACUGUGUAUUAAUUGAUAUGACUCUGUGUCCAUUUUGUUUAUUAAUUUAACCAUUGGUUUCAGUUCUUUAUAAGUCAUACUGAGUUUAUUUUAUUUUAUGUUUUCUCUUGAUUGUUUACUUGUUUUGGGGCAUUGAAUGUUUGCUAUCUUUGUUAUUUUUUGUAAACCACCCUGAGUCCCAUGGGGGAGAGAGGGUGGGUUAUAAAUAACAUUGUUGUUGUUGCUGUUGUUGUUGUUGUUGUUAUCUCCCAAACUUUGCUGGUGUCUCACCAAAGUACAACUCCCAGGAUACAAAGUAUUGAGCCAAAGCAGUUGAAAUUAACACUACUUUAACUGUAUUAAUUCUAUAAUAUAGAACUAGCCUAAGUUCACCUGAGAAGCCAUAAGAUUAUUUUAUUAUAUACAUUACAUAAUAUUAUAUUAAUAAUGUUUUAAAACUACAUCAAUAAUAUUGCUUUAAUAUUAAUAUAUAUUAAUAUAUUAUCUGACUUUUAGAUAAGAAUUGUGCAUGAGUUUUGUAACAAAUAGACUGAGAAUACAAAGUAGCCCUUUUCUUCUCCUUUCUUAACUAUCAUUCUUACAUAUUUUAUGGUAAAUGUACUUUGGAGGUUUUCCACAAAAAUACUCAGCGGAAAGGUCAGUGCCAUCCAUGUGCUAAAUAAAAAUGAUAUCACAAACCCUCAAGCAUUUUGUAAUUAAGAAGCAACACAGAAAAAAAAUCAGAAUAAUGCAGAAGGAAAGAGGGAAGGGAAGAGCAAAGAACGAGGGAAAAAGACCUAAAACUAGUUAAAAAACUGUGUACACACACCAAAUUUUGCUUUUCACUUUAGGAAUCAAGAUAUAAUUUAUGAAAGAGACCUUAUGUAAUGGGACUCUUAAAAGAAUAUACCCCAGAGAAAUACUGCCUUGAUUUCCAACUAUUCCAUCUGACAGGUAGAAAGCUAUGCAGUGAAAAAUAUGUUCCUUUACUUUAGUGAUUUCAGCAACAAGAUGGAUUAUUUUUUAUAGGCCCUACAACACAAACUGAGGUGUAGCUACAAGAAGGGAGGGGGCAAAAUGAAACCAUUGCCCUUUCCAAAUAUGAAUUCUAAAUAUGAUGAAGUGCCCAACAGAAUAUGUUUGAGUUCCAGGUUUUCAGUGUCUUACUCUUCAUGAUGCUAGAAAUUUGGUGACUAAAAGCAAAUUUCAUGCAUAGAAUAAUUAUUUUGGGGAGGGCAAUGCACUUUUUUUGCCUCUUUAAUACCCAUUCCUAUUUUCUUACUUUUUGUUUUGGCCAACUUGCAUUAUAUCCUUUUUUGUGGAAGACAUAAUAAUAAGAGUCAGUGAUUCAGAUUUGACAUAAAGUUGUAUUUUGAUUAUCCAGGUUCUGGCUUGACCCAAUCAUGUGUUCCCCAAUGGUUCAUUUUAUUUCCUUUUCCAGACCUGGAGAAAAAUGGAACUACAGCACUACACAUUUUACAUCAGUUUUAUACCAUUUUAAUGGGUAUGAUUGCAUUCUAAAGAAUGCCUGUAUUUGUAUUCUGAUAGGAUGUUUAGAAUUCUUAGCUAGAUAGCUUAAAUAAGUCACCCAAAUUACAAUGCACAAGGUUAUCUGCAUGCCUAUUUAUACAAAAUUCAAGUCAUUUAAUGUUCCAGCCUCCUCUACUCAAGGUGCUGGAGUGUGUACCUCACUGAACUGUAGAUCCCAGGAUUUCUAAAGAUGAUGCUUUAACAAUUAAAGGGCCAUGAAACUGAGAGAAAUGUGUGGUGCAGAUCCACUGUAAGGUCUGAAAUGAAAUCUCUGCAGGACAAAUUAUAUAAAUCAGAAGGAUGGUUCUAUCAGAGUUGUGUAAAAAUAACAGUAGGAUGAGAAUUGCACCCUGUUUUGGAUUAUGUUUUGCAACAAUGAGGACUGAGGAUACAUUUGGAAGAAAAGAAAGAAACUGAAGAAGGAGAGAGGUAAGCAUGUGAGUAUUGAUCUCUUACAGUCAGAGCAAAAGAGAAAAUUAAGUGGAAAAGAUAAAAUUAAACAAGAAAUAAUGAAUUGUAUUUUUUUCUUGGAUACACUUAAUGGUUCUUAUUUAUUUUUUCCAGGAUGCCAAAGAAUUGAUUCUGACAUAAUCAGAGCUUGGACUGUUACCCAUUCACACUACAUAAUUAUCGCAUCACUUUGAUUGCCAUGGUUCCAUUCUAUGGAAUCCUGGGCUUGUAAUUUGUCGAGGUAUUAUAAAUCAGUCUGCAGUAGAGAAUUCUAGAUAUCCCUCCCUAAAAUGCAAGUCAUGUAAUUCCUUAGCUUGUUGCCAUGACAGUUAAAGUGGAAUCAUAACAAUUAUAUAGUGACUGUGUACUGCUGACAUUACAUAGCUGUUACUGCCAAUUUUAACACGGUUGGAAUGGAACCAAUUACUCUGUUCUUUGUAAUGAAAUUAUUUGGUAUGUUGCUAUCCAUAACCUUAUUUUUCAGAACUGAAAGACUUAGCUGAGUUAGUCUGGAAUAUCAAAGACAUACCUGAGGGCCUUUCCACACAGCCAUAUAACCCAGAAUAUCAAGGCAGAAAAUUCCACAAUAUCUGCUUUGUACUGGAUUAUCUGUCAUAUGUUCCAGUUCAAAGCAGAUAAUAUGGGAUUUUAUUCAACCGCGUGGAAGAGGCCCGAGUUACAGGGUUGUUGUAUGUUUUCCGGGCUGUAUGGCCAGGUUCCAGAAGUAUUCUCUCCUGACGUUUCGCCCACAUCUAUGGCAGGCCUGAGUUAGUUUGGAAUAUCAGUAUGCUAGGGAAUCUUGUAGCACCCAUUAGCCUCAAAGAUACUACAAGAUUCCUUGAAUUUAUUUAAUAGAACCGAGAUUUAAUGUCAUCUUUUUUAGUUUGCUGUGUGCCACACUUUUAAAAGUGUGCCUCCGUGAGAAUUUUCCUCUAUCCCAGUUCCAAAUAUAUGCCCCAUUCACACUAACAUUUGUUUUUUUUUUUCUUUUUCAAAUCUCCAAGGAACAGGAAAAUAGGGUAGAAGGAGAUCCAGAGAGAGAAGAUAAUACCAAUACCAUGGAUGCAUGGCAUAUAAUAGGAUGUUUGAUGCCCCCAAACUGCCUCCAAGCUCACAUAGCAUAGAUGGCCUUGAUGGUGGUGGUGGUGGUGGUGGUGGUGAUGGUUCUUUAGAAAUGGGGAGACUAAGGAAAUAACUUCUUCUCAUAUCUUCAGUUCUUUCACAGGACCAGAUACAUUUGAUAAAUGGAGCUGGCGUGGUGUAAUUGUUUGGAACAUUGGACUAUGACAUCAAAGAUAAGGAUUCAAAUCUCCACUCAGACAUAAAACUCACUAUGACACCUUGAAUUUUAAGUUGUGAAUUUUAAUCUGCAUUUCAUCAAUGGAUUUAACUUGUAUUUUAACUCUAUGUAUCAUGUAGUAUGUCUUUUAAUAGUGUUUUUCUCUUGUAAUGAUGUGAUAUCCCACUUCGAGCAGCAGGGAGAUGUGGGUAAUAUAUUCAUUGUUGUUGUUAUUGCUAUUAUUAUUAUUAUUAUUAUUAUUAUUAUUAUUAUUAUUAUUAUUAUUUGAAACACAACAUGAUGAGUCCACAGCAGACACUCGGCUGGUUGUUGUACUGGAUCACACUCCGGACACUUCCCAAGUGUCUAGGGCUGUGUGAUGUAUCGGUGAAUAAUGCGUGCAGAUCCCAGUAAGGUGGCCUUCUGCAGCUGGCAGAUGGUAAUUUUGUUAGCGCCGAUUGUGUUUAAGUGCAGGCCAAGGUCUUUAGGCACUGCACCCAGUGUGCCAAUCACCACUGGGACCACCUUGACUGGCUUGUGCCACAGUCUUUGCAAUUUGAUCUUUAAAUCCUCAUAUCAUGCCAGCUAUUAUUAUUAUUAUUAUUAUUAUUAUUAUUAUUAUUAUUAUUAUUAUUAUUAUUGACCAAGUCAUACUUUCCUACCUCAGAGGAUGACAAUAGCAAACUUCUUCUGAAUAUAUCUUGCCUUGGUGUUGCCAUAGAUUGAAAAUGACUUGAAGGCAUACACCAUCACAACAACAGCAUGGGUGUUUGGUAAGACCUUGUAGAUGUGCUAUUGCAGAAUGGUGAGUACAUCCUCAAUAUUUUCAUGGCUUUUUUGGAAACUUGGACUCCAGUACGAUCUAGCAUAUCUAAACCUGAAGAUAAUACUAUAAAGCUAUGCAGAAAGUUCAAAAUCUAAGCAGUUGGUGACCUGUACAGAGAGUAUGCAGCCUAUAUAAAUUAUGCUUCUUAAACUGUCAUACUGGGCUGAUGGGGUGGUGGUGGUGGUGGUGGGGAUUUAAGUGCAGCAAGGCAGUCAUGUAUGUUGUCAUUUUCCUCUGCGAAGCAUUGAUCAAUAUAACAAGGAAAAGUUUGCCCCUCUUUUCACUGCUUCUCAGACAACAAGAAAUAACUGUGUCAGUCCAAGUGGCAAUGGAACGAUAAAAUAAUCUGACAGCUUUACCAAGAAAACACCCACAGGACUGAUACUAUGUAGCCUAUAUUCCACGGGUUAUCUCAUACAUGGGCAAACUUUGGCCCUCUAGGUGUUUUGGACUUUUACUCCCACAAUUCUUAACAGCUAGCAAACUUGCUGGGAUUUCUGGGAGUUGAAGUCCAAAACACCUGGAGGGACCGUUUGCCCAUGUCUGGAUUAUCAGGACUCUGUUGCCCCCCUUCCCUAUGGUUCAGGGACUGACUCUGGAUUAAAUAGCCUAUCUUGAUGACAGCAAAGCAACACUACUCGGUAGAGUCCAAAAUGUAGAUGAUGUGUUGAUUGAUCUAAACCUGUGUAUCUAUCUUUAAAAAGAAACUGCUGGUUUUUAGCUUUUCCCUGUCUUUAGUAUUUUAAUUACUCUCUCAGUACUAAACUACCACAAAAUACUUAGGGAUUAGAACAGGGAUUGUUCAUAAUAAUCCAUUAAGGCUGGGAAAAUUCAUUCCCAUUUUAGCUGAUCAUAUGAAUUGCAAUACUCCCCAAGUGUCUUGAUUUGGUAGGAGCAGUCCCCUCCGUCAUUUGACUUUUUCAUCUGUUUUUAACAUGUCCUAAAUUCUCUCUCAUCAUCUGAUUGUGCCUCCUUGUCAUCAGUUCAUUUAGUGUGGCAGAGAAUGAUGAUAGCCAACAUGACUGAAUACAAUAGUCUUCCAGACAUAGAGUCUUGGUGGUGCAUCUGUAAGUGAUCAUGAAGAUGUAUUCUGGGUCGACAUGGUCUUUCACAUUGAGCUCAGAUUGCCAGAUGGAAGGUGGUGACGACAAGGAUUUGCUUGAUGUGCCUUCCACCAGUUGCUACAAACCGAGGUCAAAGUGAAGAAGUAGUUAGCAUUCUAUUAACCUGGCAAGAAGAUGUGGAUGACCUUCCCUGCAAACUUUUGCAGCCUCUCUGAGCUUGUGUGUUCAAUCAUCCUCAGUAAUAACUUUUGCCAUCUUGACCACACUCUGGUUGUGUCAUUUUCCAUCUGUGAAAUGUUUACAGUUGCUGCUAGCAGAGUAUUCCAUCCUACACAGAUGUCUCUGGUGUUGACACCACUAGUGAAAACAAAUGUGACAGCUUCUGGUAAGAUGUGUCCACCUUUCUGUCCUCAUAUUUUCACUGCUCUACUGCUGAAUUAAUCUUGUCUGUCUCAAUUUAUUUGCUGCCCACCUCCCACCUGCCUUUGGCAUCUCCCAGUAUUAUUACUUCAAAAUUGUUCUCUCCACCUUCUCCUCCUCCCUCCUUCCCUUCUCCUUUUUCCCCUUCCUCCCCCCAUUCUCUUCCCUCUGGUUCCUUCUAUAGAAUCCAUGCAUAUUACAGGUCAGAACUCUUUUGAAGUGAUGUCUUCAUGCAGCAAGUUGAUCUUGCCUCGGCUGGAUGAAUCCCCACUAGAAAAUGAGUUAGAUCCCACAGAACCACAAAUCAUAGAUAAGCAGAUCAUAUCAUAGGAUCUUGAUACAGUUGAAGUGUAUCCCAAUCUUGGGAUAAACAACUGUUGAACUUUCCAGGGAGGAUGUGGGUAUCCACCUCUCUAUAUUGGAGGGGAUCUAGAAUGACAUCCCGCUCCAGAAAUCCCAUGGAUAGUACAGAACUAUAGCAUGAUGAUUGCACUUUAACUUCUAUGGUUGCAUGCUAUGAAAUUCUGGGCUUUUAGCAUGGUGAAUCUUUGGCAGGGAAUUCUAAAGGUCUCUCUAAACUGCAAGUGCAUUGUGUUAGGGUAUAAUGAAGCUCUGUCUGUGUUAAAGAAAAAACUACACAGCUGAUCAUAACAAGUAGGAGCUAAUCUAGGUCGGCAGCUAAGCAAUUAAGAUUGGACCACACCUGGUGGGGUGUGGCUGUGUGUGUGUAUUAGCUUCUGCUCCUUCUUUUGGUUUCGUUUUGCUUUUUGGAUCUCUCCCUUGGAAGAAGAGGCUGAAGAAGCCAUGCUCUUUGUAUUUUACAAUGCUUUUUGCAUCUUGAAAUGCUUACAAGGACUAUGGCCUCUGCGGGACCACCCAGAUGAUCGCCAGAACAAGAUUAAAAUCUCUUUCACUACACAAAAACCUGGCUUUAGACAUUCUGCUGACUGUGGUGCACAACAAAGGCAUGCCCUUCCUGGCUCAAGUAAAAGUACAUAGUACCCAGAGCUUGACAAAUUGUUUUGAUACGUGACAGAAAAAAAUCAACAAGUAUCCUUUCCUCACUAGGAAAGUAAAUAAUAACAACAAUAGGCUUUAGCACAGCUGGCUAAUCACCAGCAUCAAGAGAUCAUUGCUAACCAAAAGGUUGGUCGUUCGAAGCCUGAGUUGGAGUGAGCGCCCGACCGUCAACCCAGCUCACUGUUCACCUAAGCAGUUUGGAAACAGCUGCACUGUGAUUAGAAAUCGCUUAGCGGGGAGGUAUUUUAUGGCACUAUAAAAAAUGCCUGCGAUUAAAGAAGGAGGAAAAAUUCUGCCAUCAAAAGACUCAUUGUCAUAGUGGAUGGAGUGACAGCACCCCCUGUGGCCAGAAUCUAGCAUAACUUCCAGGUGUCGUAGUUGGAAAAAAUGUGGAUAUACUUCUAUCUGUUUGUCUAUCAUGUAUGUCCAAUGGCAUUGGAUGUUUGCUGUGUAUAUGUGUGUUCUGAUCCGCCCUGAGUCCCCUUCAGGGUGAAAAGGGCAGAAUAUAAAUUCUGUAAAUCAAUAAAUAAAUAGCAACAAAAAUAAUACUAUUACCAAUAACAAUAACAAUGUAUCAACUUGGUAACGUUUUGAAAAUUCAGCUGUACCCUGCAGUGGUCACCUCUUUCCAAAUGGCAGGGCUGGUUGACACCCAAAUUAACAAAUAAAAUGCAUUUCAUUUUGGCAGAGAAACACCUAUCAUUAUACAGAAUAAGAAAACCUUUUCAGGUAGCAGACGUUAGGGUGGGGUGGGGGAAUGACAGAACAGCAUGUGCUAGCUUGAAAUUACUUUUCUUUCUUUGAGAGCAAAGGAGGACACUGUUCUGCUGCCAUUGUUGAACUAUAAUUCAAUGGAGAGAGAAAUUUACAUAUACAAAUAAAAAUGGCAUUUAUAUCU